UCCGGACAAAGAUCAGAGACUCUGUCUCUCCGUGUUCACAGCGGACCUUGAUUUAAUGUCAUACAAUUAAGGCACGCGGUGAAUGCCAAGAGCGGAGCCUGAAAGACUGCAUUUUGAAG
rnacentral:pre_miRNA from 15 species